GUUACGAUGUACUUUCAUUGUUACACGGUUAACAUAUUGACCACUUAAACCAUGGCAUUAUGGUUUCAUUGUCGUAAUAAAAAUAAACUGGAGUUAUUUAGAGAAUUCGUACUGUAUGCGAGUGGAAUGUUGGUAUCAAUCAACUGACUUUCGUUGCUUACAUUUUAUUAGACUUCACUUCAGAUAAAGUGCCUUAAUAGUCUAACAUGUGUUAGGAUUUCUGAUCUUGGUCUCUCUUCAUUUUUAAAUUUAAUUGAAUUAAAGCCAUUCUCAAUGUUUUCUGCUUACUUACCUUAAGUAGCGAAAGAAAACUUUCGUUUAUAAGCACUAGUUAGUAAAAUUCAUCUAUGGUAACAAUAUGGGUUUACGAACAAUUAUUCAUAUUUUUUGUUGAUUUUUGAACAUAUCUCCUUCUUUUUUAUACUAUGGAAGUUGUUACUGACUUUUUCUCUGCUCAAACGUAUGUUUUCGAAAGAAUAGAAAAAGGUGCGAUAAUAGUAGUGAGAACUCAGAUUUGAAAUUAGCGUAUGUUGAAGGCUUAAAAAAAUUGAACGUUUCAAUAGAUUUCACUACCUAUAUGUUUUUAUUCAAAAACUUGUGUUUUUUGAGAAAUCGUUAAGCGGUUCGAAUAUGUGUUGGUAUAUUGGGUCACUUUUCAAUUGAAAUAUUUUUGAGACUAAUCCAUAGUAUUGAGCAGCUAACUAGUUAAUAAUCGAUUAAUUUAUUUAUGCAUAUUUCGGAAA
rnacentral:lncRNA from 1 species